AAACUGAAGAGUUUGAUCCUGGCUCAGAUUGAACGCUGGCGGCAUGCUUUACACAUGCAAGUCGAACGGCAGCGCGGGGCAACCUGGCGGCGAGUGGCGAACGGGUGAGUAAUAUAUCGGAACGUACCCAAGAGUGGGGGAUAACGUAGCGAAAGUUACGCUAAUACCGCAUACGAUCUAAGGAUGAAAGUGGGGGAUCGCAAGACCUCAUGCUCCUGGAGCGGCCGAUAUCUGAUUAGCUAGUUGGUGGGGUAAAGGCCUACCAAGGCAUCGAUCAGUAGCUGGUCUGAGAGGACGACCAGCCACACUGGAACUGAGACACGGUCCAGACUCCUACGGGAGGCAGCAGUGGGGAAUUUUGGACAAUGGGCGCAAGCCUGAUCCAGCAAUGCCGCGUGAGUGAAGAAGGCCUUCGGGUUGUAAAGCUCUUUUGUCAGGGAAGAAACGGGUGUGGCUAAUAUCUGCAUCUAAUGACGGUACCUGAAGAAUAAGCACCGGCUAACUACGUGCCAGCAGCCGCGGUAAUAC
rnacentral:ncRNA from 1 species